rnacentral:lncRNA from 1 species
CGACGGCCCGUCGUCGUCAUUGUUGUCGGAGGAGACGACGGUGAUCACAACUCGCGCUGGCCCCGUCCACGAGGGCACCGCCGCCGUCGAAGAGCCGCCACCUCGUCGUACCAACCUGACGGCGGCGGUGCCUCCGAGCGUCGAUUGGAGGGCCAAAGGCGUCGUCACAGCAGCCAAGUUUCAAGGGGUGUCCUGUUGUAAGUAACAUCCAAAACAAAUCAUGCAUGCGAUCUCGUUGUCAUCGUCUACUCCAUUUAUGCAAGCUAAGUAACUAAGUAAGUGUCCGUGCAGCGUCUUGCUGGGCGUUCACGUCGGUGGCGACGAUGGAGAGCGCGCAGGCGAUCAGCACCGGCGGAUCGCCGCCGUUGCUGUCGGAGCAGCAGCUGGUGGACUGUGUCACUCUCAACCACGGCUGCAACAGAGGUUGGAUGGACAACGCCUUCAAGUGGGUGAUCCAGAACGGCGGCAUCACCACGGAGGCGGCCUACCCCUACACCGGCAAGGACGGCAUGUGCCAAACGGGCAAGCCGGUCGCGGUGAGGCUCAGCGGCUACAAGAAGGUUUCGCCGCCCGGCAACGAGGCGGCGCUCAUGGAGGCCGUGGCGCAGCAGCCCGUCGCCGCAUCCUUCGACUACAGCGACCCCUGCUUCCAGCACUACAUCGGCGGCGUAUACAACGCUGGUUGCUCCAAGUCCGGCGUCUACACCAAAGGGGCGUGCAAGACAGCGCAGAACCACGCGCUGGCCCUCGUCGGAUACGGGACCAUGCCUGACGGGACCAAGUACUGGAUCGGUAAGAACUCGUGGGGUGAGAAGUGGGGUGAAAAAGGCUUCAUCUAUGUCCUUAGGGACUCGCCGCCCUUGGGCUUGUGCGGCCUUGCGGCGCUCCCGGUUUACCCUAUCAUCUGAUGACGACCCCAGCCGCCGUGCACCUCCAUCAUGUGUGCGUCCCUCCGUGCAUACUUAUUAUAUAUAAUGAAUAAUUGCACGGUACUACCUAGCUAUUCACUUGUGUACUCCAUCAUGUAAAGGUUCGGAUGCUACACAUGCAUCCUUGCCUAUAAUAAAUAAACAAUUAAUAUAUGCUACUCCUUCCAUUCUAAAUUAUAAAUCGUUUUAACUUUUUUAGCUAUGCACCUAGAUAAUACAUUAUGUUUUACUAUGUAUCUAGAAAAGUCAAAACGACUUACAAUUUGGGGUAGAGGAAGUACCUCCGUUCUGUUUUAUUUAAGGAGUAAAAUGCACUAGCGGUAGGUCUCCAAUCUCCCAAAAUGCACAUCGGAGUCCCUAAACUUGCUAAUCGGUUCAUGUGACACUCAACUCUCCAUAACCCACCUUAAACUGCGUACGUGGCAUGCUGACUGGGAUGCUAACGCAUGGAGCGGAGGAUGGAGAGCAAGAGAGGUAGGAGGGGGCGGGGUAGGGGGGAGGUGAUCGCCGGUGACCAUGGGGGAGAGGAUGAGAGUUGAGUCAGGACGAGCUCUGGUUGUGCUGACAGGGGGAGGUCGGUGCGCCGCAGAGGCGGGGUGAGCUUGAUGCGCCGGAUAGCAUGAGCUUCGGCAGCGCGAGAUUUGCGUGAGCGUGACGGCAGAGAUCAUUUGAGAAAAAUGGAGAGAGAGAGAGAGAGGAAGAGAGAAGAUAGGUGGAUUUGACAUGUGGAUGUCAACACACAGUAGUUAGCCCAUGCAUGCCAUUUAACAUGGGUUAUGAAGAUUUGGAUGUAUUAUGUGAACCGAUAAGCAAGUUUAGGGACUUAAAUGUGCAUUUUGGUAGUUUGGAGAUCUAGAUGACACUCGCUACCGAUGCAAGUUCAUGUGCGUGCAUUUUACUCUUUAUAUAAGCUUUGGCUGGUCCUAAAUUAAUCUAAACCACGCCAAAUGCUAUGGAAUGGUGGUAGUAUUUGAUAUCCUGUAUGUAAUAAUAUUGCAUAUUUGGCUGCCAUCAAAAUGCAUGGGACAGGUUGUUCGGAAAAUCCAAAAGAGAGUAUGCAUCAAUAGCCUUCUCUGGGAUACAGUAGUACAGAGCUGAGCGCGCACAAAACACACCACACGUACUGUUCUUACACACGCUUAUUAAGGAGGUACACAAAGCCACUGACUUCACAAAACUUGGGUGUCCACAAGUGCUUGGAGUCGUCUCAUUGUAGUCUAUAAGCACUUGGUGCCAUACUGCAAAUAUUAGUUGUGGAUCCGAUAGACGAGGGAUUGCACCCUCUUUAAUUAAAUUAAUUGAAGUAAUGUUCAAAAUGCCGCUGAUUAUGAUAAACUAAUUGAAUUUUUUUGGAGAAAAACAAAUUGAAUGAAUUAAUUUAAACUAACAAGGGUUGAUGGUGGCCUUUUAGAUCUACACUACAGUACACCUUUGCGGGACAAAGUAAUAGCAGUUCUCCUACAAUAAUAGUUACCAAGCAAGCUUGACCUUGUAAUAACCAUUUGAAGUUUUGUAUGCCAGAAAGCAGGGGCGGAUCCAGGGCCCGGGCUGCCCGGGCUGCAGCCCGGGGCGAGACCAUGGAGUCCCUUUAACCUAUGUGCUGUUUAGCCUAACAAAAUGAGGCUUAGGAGACAAAAUUAGACUAUUUUAGGUGUGAUUCAACAGCUCAGCUCGGGGCGCAGUCCCGUUCUGGAUCCGCCCCUGCCAGAAAGCGUACCCCUCCUUUCAUCUGGUUAGAAGUAGGAGAGUGUGUGUUGUUUGUUCUUGUAGUAAUCAAAGAUACCACAUAAAAAAAAUGAAGGUCAGAUAAAACAUGAAAAAUACCUCAAAGCAAGAAGAAAUCUAUUAUAAUAAAAGAAGAUGAGACCUAUCUUUCAAAGUUGGAGCGAGAUUAUAUCUACCUCAAGAUCGUCCUACCCUUGAGAGGGACUCAAAGAUUUCAAAAGAAAGGGAAACUACGUCCAUGGUUUGUAGGACCAUGUAUACAAUAUCAAAUUAAAAAGAUUAGAGCUCUAGCUUACAAGUUAGAAAUACUCGAGAGCAUGGUAGGAGUACACAUAUGCAUGUCGUUGCAACUAGCAAAAUGCUCGAGGGUUCCGGAAGAAGAAAUUUCAGCAAAAAGCAGUUGACUUUCAAGACACAGAUUAAUAUCGAAGACAUUCCAAUCAAGAUCAUUGAUGUGCCAGUAGCAUAUCGACAAAGGUUAUGCAAGGUUCUGCAGAGAAACCAUAGCAAAGAGGAAGCUGCAUAGGAGCAUCAAGAAGAUUUGAAGAAAGAAUUUCCUCACUUCUUGGCUGUGAAUACAAAAUUUUGAUUUUCCUUUUAUGUAAAUUUUGCUUCAAUGUAAAAAAUUGAUUGUUUGGAGUCAAAUACAAUUUUCUUAAAUUCAAACUUCAUAGAUUUAUUCUGUGAGUUUUGAAUUGGAAACUAAAUCUCAAUUCAAUUCUGCUUUAUAAACGACUAGAGAAAAGGCCUAGCCUAAAUCCUAACAAGGCCAUAACGGCGACGACACGCACAGCAGCGAGUCGGCCCAAUAAUAUUUCCUGGUGUGUGUCAGCGCAGCCCAUGGCCCACGAUUCUGCAUGCAGGCACCAGACAUGCAUGGCCCACGAUUCUGGUGAGGACGGAGGUGCGCGGGGAGGCGUGCGAGGCACCAGACAUGCAUGAUCACUGGCAAAGCAGACGCAUGGCUGCAUGCAUUGAAUUUUCAAAGUAGCACUUCUGUUAGUGCACAUCUUCAUGCAUGUCUGCAUAGAUACUGCCUCCCAACUAUUGUCCCUGUACAUUGCCUUGUUAUUUUGACUUUAGGAGAGCAGCUCCGUUCAUUAGUUGUCAUUAGGCUAUGAAUGAGGCUAUGAUUUUUUUUCCUUUAUUUACUUGCGGAGCUGAGUUGGCCAUUACUCUCUUUGCGUUCAUUUUUUUUCUAUUUCUUUCCAUUUAAUUUCCUUUUAUUUAUUUUUAUAUAAUAUUUAUUGAUCUUUCUCUUUUUUUAUUCCAAACCUAACUUAGUAUUCUUUCUUUGGAUGUUUUUUUUCAUGAUUUAUAUCAUUCAACUUUAUAUCUCAUAUAGCUAGAUGUUAACAAAUGCGUAACCGAUUGUUCCCACGUUGAAACUAUUUAUUCAAAUUCAAGAAUAAUUCAAUGUGAACUAUAAAUUUAUUUUCUUUUCUUUCAUUUUGUUUUCUUAUGGUGCCUUUUCUUUUCCCGUCUAUUUGUAUAUUAUUUCUAUCUUUUAUUUCAUUUGCUAUAUUAUGAUUUCUUUUCUUUUAUCUUAUUGUAUUCAUCUUUCUUCCACUAUUUUCUAUUUUAACAUAUUAUAAUUUUAUAUGGAUCUAUUUACCUUUCAAUAUAUUAUAAUAUUUAUUCUAUACUCCUGUAUCAACAAUGUAUUUAUUUCAUAUGUAAAAGUCUUUUUCCAUAACUUUGUAUAACUUGUUCUAGGUAUUAUUUUAAUUUUUAUUCUAUUAUAUAAUUUGUUGUAGGGGUAUACAUAAUGAGUUAGUAUAAUUUGCUCUAUGGCUACAACUAUUUUGUUCUACACGUUCAUAGAUUUUGUUCCAUGUGUAUAAAUAAUUGUUCUUUGAAUUUAUAUACUUUGCUCAAUAAGUCUGUAUAAUUUGUUCUCAGAAUACAAUUUUUUGAUCAUGAGCUCAUAUAAAUUGUUUGACGUGUACAACUAGUUUGUUUCAUGAGUUUGUAUAAUUUAUUCCAAGUGUAUAUAUUUUUGUUCCCUGAGUUCGUGCAAUUGUUCGAUGGUACAAAUAUUUCAUUCCUUGAGUUCGUAUAAUUUGUCCAUAUAUAAAUAUCUCAGAAACAGUUUUCAACCUGAUUAAAAAAUGGUAAUAAAUAAAAUUCGUUCAAAUAUAGUCAAGUGGGGUCUUGUUGAAGAUCUUGUUUAAAAAAUAAAACUGCGCAAUUAAAAUUUAAUUCAGAUGAUUUGUUUGGGAUUUAUAGUUUUUUUUUCAUGUGCGAUGACAUCAACAACUACAUGCAAGAAUCUCCCCCUAGGAACUAGCCACUGUUGAUACAUGUGUACAACAUCUUUUCAUGGAUCAGCCCCCACAACCAGUCUAAUAAGAGGGUGUUCGGAUCCUCAGGCUAAACUUUAGUCCCUAUCACAUCGAAUAUUUAGAUACUAAUUAAAAGUAUUAAACAUAGACUAUUUACAGAACCCAUUGCAUGGAUGGAGGCUAAACGGUGAGACGAAUCUGUUAAGCCUAAUUAUUUCAUGAUUUGACAAUGUGCUUCUAUAGUAACCAUUUUCGAAUGAUGGAAUAAUUAGGCUUAAUAGAUUCGUCUCGCCAUUUAACCUCCAUCUGUGUAAUUAAUUUUAUAAUUAACUCAUAUUUAGUCCUAAUUAGCCUACGAAUAUUCGAUGUGACAUGGACUAAACUUUAGCUCCAGGAUCCGAACACCUCCUAAAUCCCCGCUCCUCCCAUACGUGCUCUGGUAGACUGCUGCGCGUGUGAUCUACUAGUUGGGCUGCUGCGCGCGCACCUUUCUUGAGGUGACAGGUGCCUUGGGUUGCCACAUGAGUUCUUGCCAUCCGAUCAGCACGGUGAGCCCUUGCCCCUUGCUCUUGGUUGUUUGCCAUGAGUUUGCUCUUGGUUGCAACUUUGGGAGCACCCUCUUCUCUCCGCGGUGGCCGAUCCUCUACGUUUCACCAUUGUCACCUGUAUUCUGUGGAACAUUUGGAAGGCAAGGAAUGCUAGAGUCUUCGACAACCAGAACUACUCGCCUGCCUUCAUUCUUCGCCAAGCUGCCGGCGACCUCUACCUCUGGUCUCACCGAGCGCGAGACGUUUCUUGUCAACAAGCCCUGCGGCAAUGGAGUGUGAUUUUAUCUAAUGUAAUAGGGUGAUCAGUGUUGAACUCUUAACUCACCCCCUCCCAAAAUCAUUGUACGCUUCCAAGCUCCUUGCGCUGACAUUUCACCCGCCGUAGUUUUCCUAAAAAAAUUGGGUUGACAGUCAGCUGGGCUCCAGUAUCGGUGGAAUGGAUCUGGAGUCGCAGGUGUUUGUGGAAAAUUCUGCAACAAGUCAAUUGGUACUUGUCGUUCGUAGUGCUGGGGAAAUAUAUAAUGAGCUCGGCGUGUUUGUGGAAAUGCCACAGCCUCCCAGAACGGAAACACCAGAGAUGUUUCGUGGAGAAGAUAUGCCACGCAGUUUUUCAUUUUUUUUUUGCUGUGCUUGUGCUUGUGCUUGUGCUUGUGCUUAGUACAGAAUAUGAUACCAUUCAUGCAAAUCAACUUCUGGAAUGUGUACAUUCAAGUCAUAUCACUGAAACUUUCAGUGCAUGGAGAUGCAACACUUGCCUUGGGGUGAAGACCGUGUUUUCUCACUUGGUCACAUUCAGUUCACCGUCAAAGUCACUGAGCUCUCAGAUACUUUGGCUUAAUUUCAAAAAACGCAGUCGUCUUCUUGUACAUGGCGUGGAUGUGUACGGGCUCAUCUCAAUGAUCGUGGAGGCUGCAUGAACGGUUAAGAGGAACCGGGGGACCUGUCAGCUGCUGGCACGCCAUGCAAGGAUGAUCGGGGACACUCCAUCCGUUCCAAAUUGUAGGGCGUUUUAUUAUGCACCUAGCUAGACAUACACUAUAUCUAAAUCUAUAAUAAUAUCUAUAAACCUAAAAAAAUUAAAACGACCUACAAUUUAAUUUGGAACGGAUGGAGUAGAACGCAACUAGGAGCCCAGUGGAGCAGCUGGAGGAGAUGCUUCGGUACGCAUAAGUUUUCAUCGCGUCUUGUCAUGAGGGUAGCUACCAUAUGCAACUAAUGCAUGGGAAGGAAGAAGGCUAAUGAGAUCAGCUCCCUGAGGUGCACGAAAUUAUCUUCUACCUCGAUCUUUUCCCCCUUAAUUGUCAGCAUUGUCGACAACAACACCAUACUUGGGUGUGUCUUCUCAUGAGAGCUUUUCCUUUGUUCUCAAGGUUAUGGAUUUCAUCGUGUGAAAGUUUCUUAGACCAUGUUGUAUUUCAGAAAGACCAUUUUUCCCUAAUCAAGGACCAGUUUUUCUGGCUGAUAACAUGCUCAAAUCUGUUUCUAAAUUCAAACUUCUUUUUUUGGCUGAUUUUGUUAGUAAGAAACUAGCCUCCUGAAAUCAUGAUCUUUUGCAACUCGGAGUCUCAAGAUCAUGCAACUGGCGUAACGCAUGUAGGUUGUACUAAAAUCUAUUUCAAAGGAACUUAUUGUAUAAGCAGCAUUGUCCUAUACUUACAUAUUAUGUCAAGGAAACAUGUAAAUAUUUAUUUCAUUUACCAUGCCUCUUAUUAAAAUUAAGAUUCAAAGUGCUGAUGGCAGUUUGUUACUGGAAUAUAUGCUAAGAAAUAACUUAUGUUCAAAGGAACUUAUUUGCCUUCUGUUUUCAAUCAUUAAGGAAACUACUGAUGAAUUACAUGCAUUACAUCAAGCAGAACAUGAAGAUAGGUAUGGUCCAUCUAUGUAUCCCUUUUUUCAUAUGAAAUUUAUGGACUUGCUUAGUUUGUUCAUUCAAACACAUGCAUUACAUCAUGCAGAACAUGAAGAUAGGUAUGGUCCAUCUAUGGUAUCCCUAUUUUCAUAUGAAAUUUAUGGACUUACUUAGUUUAUUCAUUCAAAUAUUGUAAAUGUGCUUCAUUUUGCUGCUAUAUAUAUUGGCAGUGUAAACCGAAUGAUGCACUAAACAUCUUAUCACUCCAAAGGAACACCUCUCUUCAAAUUAAAACAAAGGCAAAGACUGUGAUUGUUCAAUAUGAAAUUUGUGCACUAUCCUUGAAGAAUAUGAAAACACUUGGAAAUGCUUAUAUUGGUGGAUGAAGGGAGUAUAUAUUAAGGAUUUUGUGUUAUUUUAUUAUACUGUGAUUUGUCUUGAGUUGUGUGUUUGAAAGAAAUAUCAGUUACAUGUAUCGCUGAUGACACAUCCAAGAAGUACAGAAGCCGAGUGAAUGUUUAUUCCAUUAUAUAGAAAUUAAAGAGAUGGAUGGACCUCAAAACAGAUACCCUACUCUUUACUGUACUUCCAGUGUGAUGUUUCAAUAAUUAAUGCUCACAUGAAGAUUCAGCCCAACAUGAGCAUGCAACAGAUUAGCCGACAUGUGCGUUAAACAAUUUGUCCGAUAUCUAUCAAUAAUCAUAACAAACCAACAAACUGUCCUAUUCAUCCAUAGUAGAGGUUUAAUAUAAGAGAUACUUUCUCCAUCACAGAUAUACAUUUUGGUUUUAUUCUAAGUUAAAUCUCUCUAAACAUCAAUCGAUUUCCAUUAAGUCCACAAUGGAAUAUGUGUAAUUAGUGUAUUUUUUGGUAUUGUAGAUGUUAAUAUAUUUUUCUAUAAAUUUAGUUAAAGUUGAAUAAGUUUGGUUAGCACACGAAAAAUAGGAUGCAUGAAGUACUAAUUAAUUUUUUUGCCAUCUGACCACAUCAUUUGAUUAAUUUUUUUGCCAUCUGACCACAUCAUUUGACUAUUUUUUAUAAAAAACAAAUACCCAUGUAGACAGGUGUUUUGAUAUAUUUGGGGUUAAUAUUCCAUUCCGAGGAGGUGCUAUUCACUUUUGGAACGUGCUCAGGGACUCGCCGCCCUUGGGCUUGUGCGGCCUCGCGGUGCGCCCCAGCUUCCCUAUCAUCUGAUCGAUCACCGGCCGGACCCCCGGUCGAUCGCCAUGCACCUCCGAGCCAUGCAUGAUCUGUGUGCCUCUCGAUCCAGAAUAAUGGUGUGUACACACGCGCUGCGUGUCUAUACAGUAUGUAUCGUUGCAAAGAUUAUAUAGGGUGCUGACAUGCAUCCUAGCUUGCUUAUAAAUAAAUAAAUAAGGGAGGUGUUUUUUAUCAUUGUUGCAUAUGCCCAAGAGGGCCUGGCCCAUUAUGCAGGGGUAUAAAUGAAGUUGCUUAACCCUAAGUAGAAAUUAGACCUGCCGAAGAUGCGAUAUGUCGGUGUAGGCGUGCGGACUGGCGGUCGUCGACAUGUGCUGAUUUUCAUUGGACAAAGAAAUGUCAUACUAUCAAAAUAAUUUGAUUAUGUGAUGAUUAUUAUUAUGCACUGCCCACUAGUAGAGAACUGACUUUCGAUCCACCCCCUUUUAUCCCGGUUUAAAGUUGGCCCGGGACAAAAGGGGGUGCGGGGGGGUGCGGAAAUUUGGAGGGGAGCAUUAGUCCCGGUUGGUAAUUGCAACCGGGACUAAAGCCCCCCCUUUAGUCCCGGUUGCAACGGCUAGCUGGGGGGCGUCGGUGGCCGGACCCUUUUAUCCCGGUUGGAGGAUCCAACCGGGAUAAAAGGGACACCCUUUUAUCCCGGUUGGAGGCACCAACCGGGAUAAAAGGGUUAGUCCCGGUUGGUGCCUCCAACCGGGAUAAAAGGGUGUCCCUUUUAUCCCGGUUGGAUCCUCCAACCGGGACUAACUUUCCAACCGGGACAAAAGGUGUUUCCUUUUGUCUCGGUUGGAGUUUUUAACCGGGAUAAAAACUCAUCCCCCACUAUAUCCCGAGACAGAGACUUUCUUCUUCCUCCAGCCCGAGCCAGUCCAGCACAUUGAUAGAGAGCUGAGCUUCACCUACCCUCCGGUGGUGCCAAAGCAAGGGAGGUGCUGCCCGAAGUUUUUCCCCUCAUUUUCGUGGGAAUUUGACUCAGCCAACACAAGUGUUGCGAAGGUUUGCUACUUCAUCCUCGUGUUAUGCUUUGAUUUAUGCUUUGGAGAUGGAAAGAUUAUUUGCUACAAUGUGAUGAUGAAGUAGAAAAAUGGAGAGGUAUUUUGAGCUAGAAUGUGAGGGAGAUUGAUGUGUCAUAUAUAGUAUGCAUUAUUUCAGUGGUUUAAAAAUGAUGCUACCUUGUCUAGAUGGUUUAUCUUAUCAAAUUCUAUAUGGUUUUUUAAAUCCAUAUACUUGUUGAACUUGCAUACCGUGUUCAUUUCUGCUAAGAUGUUCUCCGCCGAGUAGCAACGUAUGUCAAGAAGGAGGUUCGAUUCUACGAGAAAGAGUGGAUACGGACAUCGUGACCGUGUCCCCUUUUCUGUAGCAUCUAACCUCUUUCAUGACGAAGUGCGGUGCCGCCCAGCUGAGGACAUCCUCGCGAAAUGAACACGGUCUUCAAGUUCAACAACUUCUGUAGUGGUAAGGAAAGAAUUUUUGUACAUAGAUGACUUCUGCUACUUGUUGAACUUGCAUACCGUGUUCAUCUCGCCGAGGAUGUUCUCCGCCGAGCAGCAACGUAUGUCAAGAAGGAGGUUCAAUUCUACGAGAAAGAGUGGAUACGGACAUCGUGACCGUGUCCCCUUUUCCGUAGCAUCUAACCUCUUUAAUGACGAAGUGCGGUGCCGCCCAGUUGAGGACAUCCUCGCGAGAUGAUCACGGGUGUUUCACGUCCACUUAGUACUACCGUUUCAAGCGGCACAAAUAAACCUAAGGAUGAGGUUGGGUCAGCGGAACCUUCAUCUUCACCGUCCAAGGAUGCUUAAAGUCCUCUCCUUGAUAAUAACCAGUGGAUGGCUUGUUGUAUUGUAUAAUGUUGUUUGGGACUUUAAUUUAAAUAUGUGUAUUUGGAUCUUCAUGUUGUUGUAUUGUACCAUGUUGUUUGGAUCUUUAAUCGAUUUUCACGCGUAAUCCAUUAUCAAGUGUAAUCCAUUUUCAUGCGUAAUACGAUGCAGAUGGACCGGCAAUGGAUGUAUAAUGCAGACAGGCGGAGCAAGGUGUUUAUUGAUGGCUUGCAUUAUUUUCUCGAAGUGGCAAAAGCGAACAAGCCAGAGAAUAGGUUCGUAUGUUGUCCAUGCUUCCAAUGCAAUAACAGGAAGGAGUAUUCAAAGGAUUCCUGGGGGACUAUUCACAGCCACUUGUUUAAAUACGGUUUCAUGCCUAACUAUUUGGUUUGGACCAAACACGGUGAACUAGGGGUUGUAAUGGAAGAUGGCGAGGAGGAGGAGGAAGAUGACACCAUUCCGGACUAGGUUGCAGGCCAAGCUUUUGCAGGUACUACAAUGGGCGAGGCUGAUGAAGAUGAGUUUGCAGAAAAUGACCCUACUGAUGACCUUGGUCAGGUGAUACGAGAUGCAUACAGAGAUUGCGAAACUGAGAAGGAAGCAGCAAAGUUGCAGCGCAUGAUAGAUGAUCACCAAAAAUUGUUGUACCCAGGUUGCCAGCAGGGCCAUAAAAAACUAGGUACGACACUAGAAUUUGUGCAAUGGAAGGCAAAAAAUGGUGUGUCCGAUAAGGCAUUUCAGGGGAUGUUGAACAUUGUCAAGAAGAUUCUCCCCGAGAAUAAUGAAUUACCGUCCACAACAUAUGAAGCUAAACAGAUUAUUUGCCCUCUCGGAUUGGAUGUUCAGAAGAUACACGCAUGCCCUAAUGACUGUAUCCUCUAUCGUGGUGAUGAAUACGAGAAAUUGUAUGCUUGUCCCGUCUGCGAAGCUCUGCGGUAUAAGAUCAGGCGAGAUGAUCCUGGUGAUGUCGAGGGGCAGUCUCCCAAGAAGAGAGUUCCCGCGAAGGUGAUGUGGUAUUUCCCUAUAAUACCAUGCUUGAAGCGCUUGUUCAGGAACAAGGCGAAUGCUAAGUUGAUGCGAUGGCACAAAGAAGACCGUAAGGAAGAUGAGAUGCUGAGACACCCCGCAGAUGGGGCACAGUGGAGAUCAAUUGAUAGAACAUUCCCAGACUUUGAAAGUGAAGCAAGGAACAUAAGGUUUGGUUUAAGCACUGAUGGAUUCAAUCCAUUCGGUGAGUUGAGUAGUGGUCAUAGUACUUGGCCUGUGACCCUUUGUAUGUUCAACCUUCCUCCUUGGCUGUGCAUGAAGCGGAAGUUCAUUAUGAUGCCGGCGCUUAUCCAAGGCCCAAAACAACCCGGCAACGACAUUGACGUGUACCUAAGGCCGUUGGUUGAUGACCUUUUACAGCUCUGGAAGGAAGAAGGUGUACGUGUGUGGGAUGAGGAUAGACAAGAGAUCUUUAAUCUACGAGCACUGUUGUUCAUAACCAUCAACGAUUGGCCUGCAUUGAGUAACUUUUCAGGACAGACAAAUAAGGGAUAUCGGGCAUGCACCCACUGUUUAGACGACACAGAUAGCAUGUACUUGAAGCACUGUAAGAAGGUCGUCUAUAUGGGUCAUCGUCGAUUUCUCCCUGCUCACCACCAGCUGAGAAAGAGCGGGAUGCAUUUCAAAGGGACGCCAGACCAUUGUAAAAAACCUGCACACCGUAAUGGAAAGCGUGUGUUCGAGAUGAUGAAGGAUGUAUAUGUAGUCUUCGGAAAGGGACUUGGUAGCCAACCUGUUCCGAACGAUGAUAACGGACAUGCACCCAUGUGGAAGAAAAAGUCAAUAUUUUGGGAGCUACCUUAUUGGGAAAUCCUAGAGGUUCGCAACGCAAUAGACGUGAUGCACCUGACGAAGAAUCUUUGCGUGAACGUGCUAGGCUUCAUGGGUGUUUAUGGAACCUCAAAAGAUACAUUGGAAGCACGACAGGACCUGAAAGCCAUGGGGCAACGAGAUGACCUACAUCCGGAAAAGAGAGAUAAUGGACAGCACUACUUACGUCCUGCCAGUUACACUCUCAGCAAGGAGGAGAAGGAUAGCAUGUUUGAAUGCUUGAAUAGUAUGAAGGUCCCGUCUGGGUACUCCUCGAAUAUAAAGGGAAUAAUAAAUAUGAAACAAAAGAAGUUUACAAAUCUCAAGGCUCAUGACUGCCACAUGUUGAUGACCCAGUUGCUUCCGGUUGCACUGAGGGGUGUUCUACCAGAAAAUGUCCGGUUGCCGCUCGUAAAGCUAUGCGCGUUUCUCAAUGCGAUUUCGCAGAAGGCAAUCGAUCCAUCCAAGCUAUCAAAGCUACAGAACGAUGUGGUGCAAUGUCUUGUCAGUUUUGAGUUGUUAUUUCCACCAUCCUUCUUCAAUAUUAUGACGCACUUACUGGUUCACCUAGUAAAAGAGAUUGGUAUUCUCGGACCUGUAUACCUGCACAAUAUGUGGCCUUUCGAGAGGUUCAUGGCAGUCCUAAAAAACUAUGUUCGUAAUCGUGCCCGUCCAGAAGGAAGCAUCGCCAGGGGAUAUGGAACAGAGGAGGUGAUCGAGUUUUGUGUUGAUUUUAUUGAUUCAAUGGACUCGAUUGGGGUUCCAACUUCACGCCACGAGGGGAGGCUCCGAGGAAUGGGCACCCUUGGAAGGAAAUCAAGUUUGAGCAAUGAUACUGAUUUGUUCGACAAGGCACACUACACUGUUCUACAACAGUCAUCCUUUGUGUCUCCGUAUAUCGAGCAGCACAGGCAGAUGGUAGCUUCCAAAAACCCGACCAAAUCCGAUGCUUGGCUUACCCGUCAUCACAUGGAAACUUUUCCCUCCUGGUUGCGCCAACAACUUAUGGGUAACUCUGAGAUUCACCCACAGCUUGCCUGGUUAGCCAGGGGACCUGCUACCACAAUCGUCAAAUUCCAAGGCUAUGAGAUAAAUGGUUACACAUUUUACACGAGAGCCCAGGACCAGAAAAGCACGAACCAGAAUAGUGGUGUCCGCAUAGAUGCCAUGGACAGAAAUAAUAGCAAGGAGUCGUAUUAUGGUUUCAUACAGGAGAUAUGGGAACUCGAAUACGGACCGCUGUACAUCCCUCUAUUUCUUUGCAAUUGGGUGAAGCUAACUGCCGUCACCAAAGAUCAGUACGGAAUGACAAUAGUAGAUCUGAGCAAGAUUGGAUACAGUGAUGACCCAUUCGUACUUGCCAAUGAUGUGCAUCAGGUGUUCUAUGUGAAGGACAUGUGCAGCAAACCCAAGAGGAAUCCAGAAGAGACAUGGGAGCCAAAGUGCCACAUAGUUCUUCCAGGUAAAAGAAAAAUCGUGGGAGUCGAGGAUAAAACAGACUAAUCAGAUGAUUAUGAUCAGUUUGAUGGCAUGCCUCCAUUCGCCGUUGAAGUUGAUCCAAGCAUCCUGCUAUCCAAAGAAGAGGCUCCGUACUUACACCGCGAUCAUGAUCAAGGAACUUUCGUGAAGAAGAAAUUUUACAACGUUGUAUUGUAAUGCGUUAAAUGUACAUGACCUUUGUGUAUUAAUUGAUACAAUUUGUAAUUUACCCUAUGUAUGAUUUCAUGUGUUAUUAAAUUUGUUAGGUGAAGAUUUUUUAGAUAUACAUGAACAUUGUUAACCACAUACUAACAUGGAUUUUUCUGCGCAUUCAAAUAAUUUAAUUGAAUAAUUUAUUGAUCACAGCAAUGCAGUAAAAUAAAUAUUUUACACGCUACAUGAGUUGGUAUAGAAAUAAUGAUUACUUCAUACUUAUUGUCAAUUUACUCGUUAAUUAAAUAUAUUUUUGCAUGUACAAAAUCUGAGAAGGUUUUGUUUUUCAUCCUAGAAUGCAGUGAAAAGGUUAAACAAAAUCCAUUUCCAAAAAAUAGGCGGGAGAAGAAAAAUAGGAAAAAAGACCUUUUGUCCCGGGUGCUAACAGCAACCGGGACAAAAGGCCCCCCUUUUAUCCCGGUUGCAAACGGCAACCGGGAUAAAAGGGUACGUUUCGUCUCCCGCCCGAACGUACCCUUUUAUCCCGGGUCCCAUCACCAACCGGGAUAAAAGCCCCCCCCUUUUAUCCCGGUUGGUGACGGGACCCGGGAGAAAAGGGUGCGCUCCCAGCCCCACCUGGCGGGGGCACCCUUUUGUCCCGGGUCCCAUCACCAACCGGGAUAAAAGGGGGGGGCCUUUUAUCCCGGUUGGUGACGGGACUCGAGAUAAAAGGGUGCCCCGCCAGGUGGGGCUUGGAGCGCACCCUUUUAUCCCGGGUCCCGUCACCAACCGGGAUAAAAGGGGGGGGCCUUUUAUCCCGGUUGGUGACGGGACCCGGGACAAAAGGCUCUUUUGUCCCGGGUCCCAUUACGAACCGGGAUAAAAGGGGGGGGGUUAAAAGGCACUGUACUCCCUUCUACCCCCCGCCAGUUCCACACUUAGUGAAAAUUUCGCAAGUCCCGCGCUCUCCGCCGUCGCCGUCCGUCCGCCUCCCUCGCCGGCCGCCGCCGUCGUCGUCCCCCAUUGCGCCGUCGAAGUCCCGCAUUGCGCCGUCGUCGUCCCCCGGCCGGCCCUCCUCGAUCCCCUCCUCGUCCGUCGACGGGCCCAGCCCCCGGCCACCUCGUCGCCGGCUGCAUCGCCCCUCGUCGCCGGCUCCAUCCUCUUCGCCCCUCGUCGCCAUCCCUUGUAGCCGCCGUCGUCGUCUUCGCCUCGGCCGCCGUCGUCGUCUUCGUCCUCGUCGCCGCCCCGGCCGCCGCUGUCCCGCACGCCGCCUGGCCGCCGCCGUCCCGCCGCCCCGCGCGCGAGAGGUCUGCCGCGCCGGCCGGUGCGCCGGGAGAGGGUUUUCUUUUAAUUUUUAAUUUUGUUUUUUUUAGAUGGAAUUGUAAUUUUGUUAAGUUAGAUUUUUAGAUUUCUAAUUUUGUUAAGUUAGAUUUUUAGAUUUCUAGUUAGUUUGUUAAGUUAGAUUUCUAGUUAGCUUGUUAACUACCGUCCCGCCGUCGUGAUCGCCGCCGUCCCGCAGAGUAGCUACCGUGAGAGCCGCCUUGUAGCCGUCGUGAUCGCCGCCGAGUAGCCGCCGUGAUCGCCGCCGUCCUGCCGCCCAUCACAACGUAGUAGGCACCGCCCGUGGUUCCGGUGAACCGCCUCUGCCGUACCGCCGCCCUGACCGCCGCCGUCCCGCCUCCGCCGCCCUUAUCGCCGCCGUAGAAAUUCGUCAAAAUUCGUAGAAAUUCGUCAAAAUUCGUAGAAAUUCGUAGAAAUUUGUAGAAAUUCAUAGAAAAUCGUAGAAAUUUGUAGAAAUUCAUAGAAAUUCGUAGAAAUUUGUAUAAAUUCAUAGAAAUUCAUAGAAAUUCAUAGAAAUUUGUAGAAAUUCAUAGAAAUUCAUAGAAAUUUGUAUAAAUUCAUAGAAAUUCAUAGAAAUUUGUAUAAAUUCAUAGAAAUUCAUAGAAAUUUGUAGAAACUCAUAGAAAUUCAUAGAAAUUUGUAUAAAUUCAUAGAAAUUCAUAGAAAUUUGUAGAAAUUCAUAGAAAUUUGUAUAAAUUCAUAGAAAUUCAUAGAAAUUUGUAUAAAUUCAUAGACUUUGUACGAUUCAUGUUAUUUUAUGAUUUCAUUAUAUACAUGUAUGAUUCCGGACUGUGAUUAUAUACAAGUUUGUAUUAAGACGAUUUCAUUAUUUUAUGAUUUCAUUAUAUACAAAUUUGUAUUAAGACGAUUUCUAUGACUGUCAUGUAUGAUUCCAUGUAUGUUUCCAGCAAUAGUUGAAAUGGCAGACGAUGAGACCGCAAGGUAUAUCAUGGAGCAGAUAAUCGCUGGUGAUGGUAGUGGCGACAACGUUCCACUAUCAUACACGGAUGAAGAGGGCACCCAGGCGGACAUGUUCCUCAACAUGUCUGCCGAUGGGAAUGAAGAGCAACAGCCGCAGCAACAACUUGCCGUGGCGGAAGGUUCCGGCGAGGUAUAUACAACCAUUCUUGUAUUGUUUCACGCCACCGCUACUACUACGUACUAAUUAACGAAUCUUGAACUGUUAGCCCUCCGGAUCGACACAAGGGCAGAAGACCCGAGGUCGUACAAAGGUGAUGGAAGGGAGGCUUGUCAUCACCGAAGUUACAGAAGUGGGCAGGCCGGUUGCUCCCGAGAAAGUAGCAAAGAAGUACGUUAGUCAAAUCGGGGCAAUCGUCCGGGACAACGUGCCUAUCAGCAUCAGAGAAUGGAAGGGCAGAAGCGAUAAUCCGUACGCCCUUCCAGAGACAGAAAAGAAUAUGCUGUGGGAAGACGUGAAGAGACAUUUCACAUUCCCCGAAGGAUAUAGCGAGAAGGAUGUCAAAGCAUGGACACUUAAGAAGAUGGCUACUCAAUUCCAGACAUUCAAGAAGAUGCUGCACACCCACUACAUCAAGAAGGGCAAAACUCCAGACUUCAACGCGUGGCCCAAGUUGAGGGACCACUGGGAUGCAUUUGUUGAAUACAAGAGGAGUGAAGAAGGUGUGAAAAAGAUCACGACCAACGUUGCAAAUGCUAGUCAGAAGGGCUACCACCAUCAUUUGGGGCGAGGUGGGUAUGGCUCAGCAAUUCCCAAGUGGAGAAAGAUGGAACAAGAUCUGAUCGAACGGGGAAUCAUACCUGCAACUAUUGAAUGGCCCGAACGAUCAAAGAACUGGUACUACGCUCAUGGAGGCUCCCUAAGCCAAGAGGAUGGGAUGCUGAUUUUCAAUGACAGAAUACGUGAGAAGGCCGAACAUCUCAUGAAGAACAUUGAAGAUUCCAAGGCUGGGAGGUUGAGGGUGGACCGAGAAAAUGAUGAGCUCACAUUGGCCCUCGGUAAUCCAGAGCACCCAGGACGUUGCCGGGGGUUCGGGGUGGUUCCGUGGAAGUUCGCUUUCCGAGGCGACAGCGCCUCCUACAGAAGCCGGAAGCGAAGAAAGGAACAGAUGGAGGAGAGCUGGCGGCAGAUGCUAGAACAAAGAAUGAUGGCUGAAAUCAAUCGGCGGGUGGCCGACGCAGUUGCGGAGUUGGCGCAAUCUGGAGCAAUGCCGAAUCCUCACACCGCCAGCCCUUCUCAACGCCUCGGAGCAGUUGUGCUUCUACAGGGGUCCCCGAUGCGCAGACGCCCAGGUUACCCGUGGAGGAGCAACGGUUCCCCGUGGAUGCCAUCACGCAACGGACCUCAUGUGAGCUGCAUGCACCGGUCGGCAACCUCACUAUUAAGGUAUACUUAUACAUAAUAUUUAUGCAAUCUUGUCAAUUGAUCCAGGCCUCGAGAUCGGAGUUCAACUUGUUUACUUCUGCUAUAUGUACAGGUAGCGUACGGGAGUGCGUUACCAACGCUGGCAGGGCAGAGCAGUCAUGGCAUGGACAUUCCAACAGGCUACGCCAGCGUCUGCGUCGAGCAAAUAGUAGAUGCCCAGUAUGAAGCCCUAGAGCUCGACUUCCCGGGAGGCGACGGGGAAAAGACAUUGGCAGAUGCGCUUCAUGGGAUCAUUCUAUGGAAGAAACGCUACAUCAUUAUUCCCCGCACGGAGCCAUCUCCUCAGACCUCAAGACCACUCCCCGUAGAUCCCGAGCAGCGACCUUCUCCUCAUACCUCGAGACCGGCAUCUCCUGCUCCAGGACCGUCGCUUCCAUCUAUCUCAAGGUCUCCAUCUCCACCACAUCCUGGUGCUGGGAGCGACGACGACAAUAACAACACCCCUCCCCGAUCACCGUCGCCGGCACCAAGAGCGGCCCCCUCGAAGGAACCUGCAGCACCACUCAAGAAGUCACGAGCACCGCCUCCCAAGCAAAGACAACCUCGAAAGAAGAAAACAAAGGUCGACCCUGAAGUGGCUCGCAAGGAACGCUUUGAGGCAAUGUCUCAUGCGGAACAGUGGGCAGAAAUCCAACGAGAGGCCAGUGAGUGGUUCAAGAAACAAGCCGAAUUAAAAAAGGCAAGGGAGAUGGAGCCACCGCCAGUAAGUCGGUGGGAUUUAAACUUUUUUAUCAGGAUGGAGGAAGGAGCCAAGAAAAGGAUACCACUCUUGUCAAACUAUGAACGGGCUCUAGUAAAGCCUGAUGAAAAGGAUAAAAGAAAAGGAAAAUCAUCCUCCAAAGGUCCAGUCCCCGACCUCAGCCAUUUAUCAAAAAAAGAUGCUCAACGGGUAAAAGCAAUGCCCUUGGAUCAACAAGCAAAUAUAUUGAAAUUCAUGGAAGAAACAGGUCUGGGACUUGAUGAAUGCAUAGGGCAAGUCGAGACGCCAACUGCACCGCCCCCUGAGCCGAGAUGGCCUUAUGAGCUAGGCAAACCUCUAGUGAAGCCUUCAAUGCUACGGAAGCUGUCAACAAAGAUGUACGAAUUCCAUCAAUGGUACAUGACGGCAACCACCAACUCGAGGGAGAUGAUCGGCAUGAAGGUAAAACCGAUAGAUUUUCACGGUGAAGGGGAGAAAGUGCUGUGGCUAGACUUCAAGGAUAUAUACGAAGUGUACCAUCAUGAUGCCCUGGACGUCUCUCUGAUCAGCGCUUGGAUUCUGUAAGUGUCCGUUUAUUAUCUCUACAUGUAAAUUUUGGCGUGCGUCACCGUACUAACUUCAUCUUCCAUUUCAUGUAGGAUGCUAAUUCAGACAUGCCGCCGAGAGGCGUACCUACAUGUAGGUUUCAUGGAUCCAUCUGUAGUUAACCAACAACAGAUACAAUUAGCGUCGGAAAAAACCUUUGCGGAAAUAUACAAUUUCCUACACAAACAAACAUUCAAGGAUUUCAUACUACUUCCAUACAACUUCAAGUAAGUGUGUGUAUACCGUCUACUUUCGAUGUCUUUUUCCUUAUCUCUACAUGUUAGUUAGCUCUAAUAUGCAUGAACAUUUUACGCACGCAGCUUCCACUGGAUCCUUAUUAUAAUUGAGCCUGAAAGAAGCCACGUCACUGUCUUUGAUUCGUUAAGGAAAGAUCCGGUGGACUACCAAGAAUUGCAAGACAUGCUAGGCUUGUAAUAAUUCUGGACCUUUAUCUCUAUGCAAAAAUUUAUUUCCUAAAUUUUAUCCCUGUUACACUAUGUCAUUCAUUAUUCUAAUCCGCAGCGCAUGGAAACAAUUCAUAAGGACACACAAAGGUCCAUUCAAAGAAAAUCUUACAUGGAACACAGACUUCCCGGUACGUAUGAAGUCUGCACAUUUAUUACAUUGUAUAACACGAAUAGUUCAUAACUUAUUUUUUUCCGCACUGAAGUGCUUAAGACAGGAACCCGGGAAUAAUCUAUGUGGCUACUACAUCUGUGAGCACAUGCACAGUUUUUUGGGACCCAAGGGACCGAAGAUGACACCGCACAACUUUAAAGUACGUAAAAUAAAUAUAUUACUAGUUAAUUAUUUUCUAGCUCCUUAUAUGUAUUUGUUCAUGUAACAUUCACAAAUUUCCAAAUUAUAGAUGUUAAAUAUUCAACAAGGACUCUUGAAGGAAGAAAGAGUAGCGGCAAUAUGUGAAGGUCUCAUUGGAUUCAUAAUGGACGAGGUGGUAGAUCCAAGAGGAGAAUUUUAUUACGAUGGACGACAAUUAGACACUCCUCUCAGCAACACCACGACGGGAAGAUCGUAGGAAGAUACUUUGAUUUAUUUGUAUAUAUGAUCGAUUUGUACUAAUUAAGCUAGUUGAAUUGUGUAUAUGAAUUGUGUAUAAGGAUUGUGUAUAUAUAUAGUAAUUGUAUAAUUACAAAUCCCAUUCGUUUAAAUACUAGUUGAUUUCAUUCUAAAAAAAUCUCAACUACAAGGUUAACAAAUUAAAAGGGCCGCGGUACUACUAUACGUAUACGUGAUGCAUGCAUGAAAAAUUCAGGCGUCACCAGUGCCAUGCAAGCGCCAUUUAGUCCCGGUUGGAAUUGAGUCGGGACUAAAGGGGGUCCUUUACUCCCGGUUAAAAGACCCGGGACUAAAGACCCCCCCCUUUUGUCCCGGUUGGUUUAUCCCGGAUGGAUAUCCGAGAGAUAUGCACCCUACCAACCGGGACUAAAGGCCAACUCUCUACCAGUGGCCUAUGAUGAGCAUGAUAAAUCCCUCACAAAAAAUUAAGAUUUUAUGCCCUUCCAACAGUUGCACCAUUGAGUUCUUGUUAGUAGGUGAUGGGUCUGCCAAAGCAGGGUGUCAUCUUCUACCUUGAUCAAUUGGGUGGUGUCAGACACCACGGCACAGUGUUGGUUUACUUGACAGAGCUAUCAAGUCAGACUUGGGCUUUGGGGCAUAAGUGUUGGGAGCCGAGACAUAUGAUGUCGCCUAACAAACGAGAGUCGAAUUUGAUGCGAUUGGCAAGUGUUGCCUACCUUGUUCACUAUGAUGCUAGCGGUGAUGCCAAAGCUCACUAGUAUCACAGGGAGCGUUGGAUCUCAUCCUGCUAUGCAACACCGGGGACGUUCGCAAAACAUAGCAGGAAUUCUUUUAUUAAAAGUGUUAAUAAAAUAAGUGCUAACCGUUGCGUAUCUUACUAUUGUAGAAAAUGCGAGUGCAUCAAACUUCAAUUUGCAAUCGAUCCUAGAUAAAGAAAAGCUAAACGGAACAAACUUUGUUGAUUGGAAUCGGAAUGUGAGAAUUGUUGUCAGACAAGAAAAAAAAGAGUACGUUCUCGAUACACCUUACCCAGAAGAGCCUCAGAAUGUCACGCACACCACUAGUGCAUAUCAUGCUUAUGUGAAGUAUACUGAUGAUCCAGUGGAUGUGCAGUGUCUGAUGCUUGCUUGCAUGAACUCUGAGCUGCAGAAGCAAUUUGAGAGCACUAACCCGUACGAUAUGAUCGUGGGGUUACGUUGCAUGUUCAAAAACCAGGCGAUGGUUGACAGGUUUAAUACCUCAAAGGCCCUGUUUGGUUGCAAGCUUGCUGAAGGUGCUCCAGUUAGUCCUCAUGUGAUUAAGAUGAUUGGGUACAUUGAGAGCUUGUAGAGACUGGGUUUUCCCCUCAAUGACGAUCUCGCCACCGAUGUGAUACUGCAGUCCCUGCCUGCUAGCUUUGAACCGUUCAUCCUGAACUAUCACAUGAAUGGUUUGAAGAAAUCACUGACUGAGUUGCAUGGGAUGCUAAAGGCGGCAGAGGCGAGUCUUAGGAAGACUCCUUGUCAUGUGAUGACAGUCCAGAUGGGUAAGAAGCGUAAGCGCCCAGCGAAGGCUAGAAGCCUACCGAAAGUGGGACUUCCGGGCAGGGGUCCAAGGCCAAAGAAAAAGAAAAGAAAGCUGGUGUAUCUCCUAACGAUGCUUGCUUUCACUGUGGUGCAAAGGGGCAUUGGUCGAGGAAUUGCAAGAAGUACUUGGAAGAUAAAAGGAAGAAAGGAGGUGCGACCUCCGCUCAAGGUAUUAAUGUUAUUGAAAUUAAUCUUGCUACGCGUUCUAAUAAUGCAUGGGUAUUUGAUUCUAGUGCAAUGAUUCACACUUACAAAUCGUUGCAGGGGCUGAAAAUAAUUAAACGCUUUGUGAGAGACGAAGUGGAUUUGCACGUCGGGAAUGGAGCAAAGGUUGCUACGUUGGCCGUCGGCAUUUAUCCAUUGUCGUUGCCUUCUGGAUUAGUGUUAGAACUCAAUAAUUGUUAUUUUGUUCCUGCAUUGAAUAAGAACAUUAUUGCCGAGUGAAUGUUUAUUCCAUUAUUAUAGAAAUAAAAGAGAUGGAUGGACCUCACAACAGAUACCCUACUCUUUACUGUACUUCCAGUGUGAUGUUUCAAUAAUAAAUGCUCACAUGAAGAUUCAGCCCAACAUGAGCAUGCAACAGAUUAGCCGACAUGUGCGUUAUACAAUUUGUCCGAUAUCUAUGGUUUAAUAUAAGAGAUACUUUCUCCAUCACAGAUAUACAUUUUGGUUUUAUUCUAAGUUAAAUCUGAUGAGGACAUCACCUGCUCGGAUACAACCACCGAUAAGAACUCAACCCCAAAACGUGUUGGAUUGGAUCUCUUUCUUUCCUUGGGCUAAAAGUGACGUGGUGGCCUGGUGGAGGACGUUGGCAAUACUUGGACUUAGCCCCCAAUCUACUUCUUUGGUCAUCCAUACCUUCCAUGUGUGUUUAACACUAUUUUUUGAUCCAUGUAUGUAUUUCUGAAAUUGACAACGAACACAUAUCAUGGUGCAACAUCAAUUCAUCAAAUGUAUCAAAUACAAUUAUGGUAAAGAAUUGUUUCAUAUGUGAAUUAAAAGUUACUAAUGUGGUUGUAUCCGAGCAGGUGAUGUUCAUCAGUGGUUGUAUCCGAGCAGGUGAUGUCCUCAUCAAAAUCUCUCAUCAAUCGAUUUCCAUUAAGUCCACAAUGGAAUAUGUGUAAUUAGUGCAUUCUUUUUGGUAUUGUAGAUGUUAAUAUAUUUUUCUAUAAAUUUAGUUAAAGUUGAAUAAGUUUGGUUAGCACACGAAAAAUAGGAUGCAUGAAGUACUAAUUAAUUUUUUUGCCAUCUGACCACAUCAUUUGACUGUUUUUUAUAAAAAACAAAUACCCAUGUAGACAUGUAUUUUGAUACAUUUGGGGUUAAUAUUCCAUUCCGAGAAGCUGCUAUUCACUUUUGGAUAUUAUCCCUCCUCUAUAACACCAGCAGAGGGCGGGAGCUAGCAUUGUCAACGCUGCUGGCCGCCGGCGGAGGGAUUGGGCAAUGAUGGGAUGAAAACUUGAAGCUAAGUCUUUUAGUGGUACAUAAUAUAAGGAAUAUAUGUGAGAUUUUUAAUACUCCCUCCGUUCCAAAUUAUAAGUCAUUCCAACUUUCUUGGAGAGUCAAACCAUUUUAUGUUUGAUCAAAAUUAUAGAGAAGAUCACAAAAGUUUAUGGCACCGAAUAGAUAUACUAUAAAAAUAUAUUUAAUGAAGAAAAACUAAUGGUACCUAUUUGAUAUCAUGAAUGUUAGCACUUUAUUGUAUAAAUUUGGUCAAACUUGAGAUACUUUGACUCUCCAAGAAAGUUGGAAUGACUUAUAAUUUGGAACAGAGGGAGUAGCAUGUAGGGAAUUGUCCUAGUAACUAUCCACGAGAUCAACUGAAUUUGACAUCAAGCAAGCAUCUUACCGACAAACCUGACCGUGACACUACUACUUAUUACUGUACUCUGGAUCUGACUGGAUAUUCAGCCAACAUGGUACAAUAAUUGCUCUGUCAUGUAUUUAUCCAUGAGCAUAACAAUUCAACAAACUUUAUCUUAAUUGCUCAAGGAUAGUGAAGGAUAUACAUAUGAGAUACUCAUUUUUCUAAUAUAUCAUCUACCAUAUUUGCUGAAAUACGUGUGAUCCCUUGACACGUGCUGAAACAAUCGCUGCAAGGUAGGAUUGAGUUCAAAAUAUAUAACAAUUGGGGAAAGCUAAAGAAAAUCUCAAGAGUGGUUCUUCUUCUUCAUAGCAAGGUAGUAUUCCAGUGCAUGUUUUUUUGUGCCUAUGCUUCAUAGCAAGAUUUGCGUUCAGAUAAUGGUCCUUAUAACUAAGAAAAUUUCAAACCUUUUAAGAUUAUCGAACACCAGAAUUUUUGUAGAUACACUAGUUAUUAUGCUUUAUAUAUACUAGCGUUACGAAUAUGUACAAGAACUACUCCGCCGGCGGCAACAACAACAAUCAAGCUGAUUGUUGUUGUGAGCUAGACAAACACUACACAUUGGACUAAUUUAGUUAUUUAAUAUGCAUUUUGCGGGAAAAACAUGAGCGCGAAAUAUUUUUUUUAAAAAAAAAAUUCCGCCCUUCAAAUUCACUCCCAUGAUUGCUGCGUCCCCCACAUCAUUGUCUUCACCAGGAGACCAGGAUGCAGUACGCUGGAUGAGAGGUUCAGAGAUCAAUUGUCGAUCUGCACUCUCAUGAAUUGAUUUUGCCGAGUUGGCAUAUAUCAAGGGAUAGAUGGAUCAUGGAUGGACCUCACUGUUGAUAAUAACAUGAUCAAAUAUUCUGCACAAUCAAUCAGAGAUGGACGCAUGACUACUCCUAACUGUACUCCCAGUCUAGCGCGUAUCAUUAAUUAAUGGUUACUUACAUGUGCUUACAAUAAUUAUCUGAUGCAUGUCUAUCGAGAAUCAUAAGAAACCAACCAACUUUGUCUUACUCAUUCAUGGCUAUGCCUAUAGUAGAGGUUGUUUCAUAUAAUGGAAAAUGAAAAACUAACAAUUUUUCUCUCUCCUAGGUUAUCACACACUAAGUUAUAUCUGGUAUGCGGAAAUUUGCUUCUUAAAAUUUGUUCCAAUAACAUCUAAAAAUUUCAAUUUCAUGACUCAUCUCUAUAACAUGCAGAUCUUACAAAUAAGGUAACUUUAUAGUCCGCAGUUGUAAUUUGGGCAUCUAAUAGAAAAAAUAAUUUUGAAGUUCAUGGAUGUAAUAUAAAAAAACUUUAGUAAAUUGAUGUAACUUGCGCAUCAAAUAACAAAUUAAUUUUAUAGUCUGUAUAUGUAACAUGCACAUAUAAAAAAUUUACUUUGUAGUCCAUCCAUUUAACUUGUGGAUAAUAGGAUGCCUGUAAGUACGGAUCAUAAUGGCAUGAGAAGAUGUAAUUUUGUAAUCCAUGGAUGUAAGUUGCUAUUUUUUAUAAUUUGGAUGUAAGUUGUCGAUAUCAGGAUGUAAGAUGUGUCUUAUAGUAGCAUAUAAUUUUGUGAUUAAUGGGCGACCAGAGGAAGGUGAAUAAAACUCUCCAAGAAACUCGAUCUAAGUCCCAAAGUAACCUUCAACCCUCUCUUCUAGCUACUAUCAAGAUCACGUAGUCACAACGGACUUAUUGACGUUAGCAGCAAAGCUAGGAAGGCUCAGAAGCAACAUGGAAGCAAACACAAAAGAUUUAUUCAAAAACAAGCUCAAAAACCUUCUAGGUAUCAAAACUUCUGACCUCUUAUCGGAACUUCCGAAGGUGGGAUCAGAAUUGUCUUGAAAACUCCAACAAGAGGUCCUCAGUGGUUUCGUCGGAACUUCUAACCCUGUAUCGAAACUUCCGGCACCUAUCAGAUGUAUUGAGACACUGCCGACAAAGGGCUCUCGGGUUUUCAAAAAUAAAUCAUCGGAACUUCCGGUUCUAUGUCGGAACUUCCUACACAGUGUCAGAACCACUACCGGAAAUAGUAGAUAUGCCGAGUAUUUUUUUUUGUUUGCCGAGUGUAUUCCAUCGAGCACUCGGCAAACAGUCGAUUUACCAAGUGCCCUUAGGAAGACACUUGGCAAACAUAAUACACUCGAUAAAAAACCUAUUUGCCGAGUGUUCUAUAUCGGACACUCGGCAAACAACAAGAUGUCAUUCGACAAUAAAUCACCACUCAGCAAAAAGCUAUCACGUGAGCGGCACGUGCAAUGGCCGUCUGACGGCGUGCCGACCGUUAGACCUUUGCCGAGUAUCUGUUAGUGACACUAGAUAAAUAGGGUUCUUUACCGAGUGUUUCUCCAUGGCACUCGGCAACAUUGUAAUUGUGCUGAGUGUUUUCUAUAAACACUCAGCAAACUAAUAUUUUUUUCCUCUCCUGUCCUCCAAACUUUUUCUACUCUCCACAUACAACAUGUGGUACUACCUGUUAAAAUUUGGUAUAUUUCUCGGUCAGUUUGCUAUAUUUAAUUAAUUAAUUUUAUUUAGAGGAAUUUGUUAGUUUAAGUAAAAUUUGAACUGCAAGUGAUUCAAAUAAUGGAAUAAAUUGAGUGGAAAAAUCAUAUUCAUGUUACUGAGUCCAUUUUGGGGCCUUACCUGGGAAUUUCAAAUAUUUUGUUCAGGAAACACGACCAUGAACGUGUCGCCGAAUGAUUUUUAAAUUCUAAAAAAAGCAGCGAAGUCUGGAAAUCACAAGAUUUGUCAAGAUCUCAUAAUAUCAUAUGUGGAGGGUGUGGUAAAAAAAUUGAGAAGGUUUCGCACAAUUUGUCACGUACGAUGCUUACAAACCGAAGCAUCUCCGAAGAAAAAUCGUAGAUUUGAGAAGGAUCCGGUAAGAUUUGGAGUCAAAGUGAUAGUUGAAUUGGGGUUUCACUUCAAAACUUUUUGUAUAGGCAAUAGACAACAUAGAUUGAUUCAUGUCAAAUUUUGGGAAUUUUUUGAAUCUGUUUGAUAAUUUUUGUUUAUUAAUUGCAAUUAUAGAAUUUUAAUUGAUAUAAAUUGAAUUUGAGCUAUAAUUGCAUGAAAUAAUGGAAUAAUAUUUGUAGAAAAAUCAAAUAUGUAUUUUUGAGUGAAUUUGAUAAGGUACUUUCAAAGUACGUCAUAAUGAAUUUAGUAAAGCACGUUAUGGAAAGAGGAUGAGCAACAUGAAUAUCAAUUUAUUUUGCUGAGUGUACAAACAAUAAAAUUGUCCAGUGUCCUAAAGGAGACACUCGGCAACUUCCUCCACCAGCUCCACUGCGCACCGUCCACCCACCCACCACCGUAAAGCUAGGUUAGCGCACGGGAGGACCAUGGCGGCUCUACUGCCGCUUGCUGUGCUGGUCCUUGGCGUUGCAAGCGCCGAGGCCCCGCUGCUGGCGGUGGCCGUCAUGCUCGGCGGGGGCGCCGAGGCCGAUCAACAUAGGGGUCCUAUGCCCCCCCUCCCCCCUCCUGACGCUCAUAAGAUGACUUAAGGAUUCAGUUUGUGAAGAUAUGACAUGGAUCACUUCGGGAUCAAUGAGGAAUCAAAGAAAAUCAAAUGAGGAAUCAAAGAAAAUCAAACGUAAAUUUAGAAAAAUCAUUGCCAGGGCCUGGCAUCUCGAUCCAUGGAUCGAUGGAGGCCGGCCGGCCGGAGAUAAAAUUAAGAUGAAUCGUCAUCAAUAUAAUCAUUCACACACGCCACUACACCUUUUUAUUUUGUUUUCCAGGUGGCAUGCAUGCUUUUUGCCUUGCAUCGAUCGAUCGACUAGCUUGCCUCUCGAUCUAAUUCCUCAACUCCUUGCCUUGCUUGCUUUUUAUCCGUCCCGUCCCUGUCCUGUACAUGCAUUGCAUUGCAGUCAUAUAUUUACAUGCCCACCCGGCCCGACCCACUAGGUUAGAUUGUUGCUAUCUAUCUAUAGCUAGCUUCCCGAUGUAUCGACGAUAUGAUAGAUGCAUGAUCCACAUUCCCAUCUCCCAUCCAGAGAUUGCCUUUGCCUGCAAACUAGCUCUCACAUAGUUGAAUUAAGCAACAAAGGUACUAGCUAGCUUCAUUUUUGAAAGGUAGAGUAGGCGAAUUAAUAUAAUGUAAUCAUUGCUGGUUUCCUACCGUUGCAUGGCAACUUAGGAAAAGUAAUUUUCUAGUCCAUCAAUAUUAUGAAAUUUAAAGUAACUUUUUACUUCGUGAAGGUAACUAGCUAGCUUAUAGAUAGAAGGAAAAAAGGGGGAGGGGUAAAAGUAACAUUUUAGUUUCUAAGCAUAAAUUUACCAUUUAAAAUAGUUGUCAAUUUGGUAUAGUAGGAGGUAACAUUAUAUAUAUUCAUCGUGUGAAGAAAGUACAGUCUAAUUUUCUAUUUUUAUAAAAGUAACUUCACCAUCUAUCAUUAAAAUAUAUAUACUUGACUGAGAUCUUGUUUUGAAGUUAUAAUUAAAAUGAAUGGAAUGAUGCAAUAAUUAUAUUUUCUUCUUUUAUUCCAGAUGUUCAGUUGUGAAUUUGCUUGCAUGUGAUGACGUACAGUAUUUUAUUAAUUUCUUGCCCCUUUCUUUUUCUCCUCUCAAAUGAUCUCUGGAAGGCGUAUGGUGGCUUCCUAUAGCUAUUCUUGUGAUCCAUGCAUGGAGGGGAUAGAUGAAAGAUGAAUCAUAAGCUGCAUGCGGAGCGCCGGAGCGGAGGGGCUCGGGGUAGGUUUGGCUCGGUGAAGUUUAUUCCGUACCAGGGUAUCAUAUAGUAUUACUAUAUAUAUAUAUAUGCAUGAUAUAUACAGGGGCGGAUCGGGGGGGCUGUGCCCCCCCCCCCCCCCGAGAGCCUAAUUUUACCUGUAAAAUACUGUAGACAAAGUCUCAAAUCACCGUUAAUCUCUAGCUCUAGCCCUUAAUCUCUAUUAUUUAGCCCCCAAGUGUUCAUCCUGGUGCUGUGCAUAACCUAAAGCAGCAGCAGCUAACUAGCCUUGCUUAUUAUAGGUCUGGUCUGGAUGGUCCGAUGGAUCGAUGCGGCAGUCAGUCAGUCAUGUAGCUCGCUGCCAUGGAUGGAUGGAUGGUAUGAUGAUGAUGCACAUUCCCAUCACCAGCCUCACCUCCACACACUACGUACAGUCAGUGUCAUGCAUGUAUAUCUAGCUAGUACAGACUGCAAUCAUCCUUCGAUCACAUGCAUUAUUGCAUCGUUCACAUUUGCAUCACUACCGAAAACAGUAGAUAUGCCGAGUAUUUUUUUCGUUUACCGAGUGUAUUCCAUCGGGCACUCGGCAAACAGGCGAUUUACCGAGUGCCCUUAGGACACUCAGCAAACAGGCCUAUUUCUAUUAUUCUGGGAACCUUUUUUCGCGAAGUGUUAGGGUCAAAACACUCGGCGAAGUGGACAUAAAAAUCUGGCCAUUGUGCGUUUGUUUGCCGAGUGUAUUGGGUAUGACACUCGGCAAACUUUGCCGAGUGUUUUAGGUCUUGGCACUUGGUGAAGUUUAGAAACUUUGGUUUGGAAAGUAUACCGAGUGUUUUUCAGUCAUGCACUUGGCAAAAUUGCCGUCACCGUGCCAUCCCAUUAGCUCUCUUUUGCUGAGCGUUUAUUUUUACAGAGUGUUUAUUGACACUCGGCAAUAUACUUUGCUGAGUGCCCGAUGAUUGCCACUCGACAAAGAGCUCUUUGCCGCUAAAAUCUAUGCCAACACUCGGCAAAACGUUUGCCGAGUGUUUUUGGGGUAUUGCCGAGUGCCCUUGGCACUCUGCAAAUCUACUGUAUCCUGUAGUGAACUUCCUACAACUCAGAAAAACAACCCGAAAAGUUUAGGUCAAAACUUCAAAAUUAAAUCGAAUGACUUCCAAAAUUCAUGAAAUUUUAACCAUAGCUCCGCAAUAGCCUACCGAGUCUUUUCCCAAAUGAUCUCCUCAAAAAGAUCAAGACUUCACUAUGGAUUCUGUGGAAUACGGUCAAGAACACAAAAGAGGGAGAGUUUUGGGAAAACUUCGAAUUCAAGCUGAAUCCAUUGGGGGGGGGGUUGAGGGGGAAUUCAAACAUGAAGAAGGAAAAAUCUCCGAAAAUACCAAAAAAGAAAAAUGCUCAAGAUCAAAGAUUUUAGCACGAAUUGAGGCAUCAAAACACAACUAAAUCACGAAGGCAGCAUCUUUACAAGAUGAGGACUAGCCUCCUCCCUUCAUCCACCCACUAAGAUGAAGAAAUCAGGAGAAAAGAGCAAUCACUCUCUCGUCUCCCUCUCUCCUCUUUCUCUAAGCACUUGGCUAGCCUCUAAGCAAAUGAAUUAGGGUUUUCUCAAGAGCUGCUGAACCAACCAGCCAUCCACCCAUAUAUAUAGUCCAUGGCAGAUGACGAAACUACCCCUACAGCUACAACUAAGAUAACUGCCAAUGCAGGGGCAUUUUGGUCCAGGUUCUUUUUGGUGCCUCGGACGAACACGCCACCUUCACGACUUUACUUCGCUUCGACGCAAGCUUCGCGAUGAUGUCAUGUGCCCCCUUUCUCGAAGCUCCGACAGCACCGGGCUCAACCCCGAUUUUGAGGCCCAAACCGGGAAACCUGCCCGCGCGGUGGUAUUGAGGCCCAAACCACCCAAACUGUCCAUCUCCGCUUGGUCGCCACAUGACCUCCUUGAUGUCGACGCGUGUCUGGCCUCCGCCGAGCCUCCCGCUCGACUCGACCGAUGCUGUCUCCAUCCCGUCAUGCUCUCUCGCCCUUCCGUGCACCAUGUGGAUCACCCAUAACUCCGUCCGGACUCAUCGGGUCAUCAGUCCAAGCCUACUCACAUUUGGUCCAUCAGCAUGAACCUUUCACUUGACCUUCACCGCACGCUAUCGGCCGCCACACCGCAUCCUACACCUGCAUAUCACAAGCCAAUAACAAUAUCAAUCCAACACAACGUUGCCAAUCACUCAUCAUCCAAGGGUGACCACCAUUGGUCCUCAUAAUGUAACAUUUUCAUGAUGCGGAUGUAACUUUUUUGAGCUACAAGUAAAUUUCUCGCUCCAAAAUAUCUAUUUUAGCAUAAAUGGAUUUUUUAUUUUUUAGAAAUGACGAGAAAAUAUUGUUCCUUAUCUUAAAAAAACUAGGUGUGUGCUCUACAUGUAGUCGCAUCGGUAUUAGAGGUAGUUACUAAUUUGUAUUACCAUCUGCCAUACUUGCUUAAAACACCACCUAUAGUCUUUGUUUCCUAUGGUCAAGUGGAAGAAAAUUCUGUGGAGAUCGGAUGCAAACCACGCUCCCUGCAUAUCCGACGCCGAUCGAUGUGCACCACGUGGGCGUCUGAGGGAUCCAAGGGACGCAGCUCCACGUCACGGAUCCACAGAAUUUUCUUCCGGUCAAGUGGUAGGAGGCAAAGAAAAGCAGCAGACCGAGAGGACAUCAACAAGUGAGAUCUAUCGGCUAUAUAAAGGAACCAGGUUCUAGCCAAGCGUUCAUAUGGCUGCCAUGCACUACUCGUCCUCCUCCAUGUCUCUCGCUCUGCUGCCGCUACUGCUUGCAGCCGCACUGGCUCCCUCUCUGGCUUCAGCUUCACCUGCCCUCGACAAUGGCGAGGAGCUGCUGAUGCUCGGGAGGUUCCAUGGGUGGAUGGCGGCGCACGGCCGGUCCUACGCCACCGAGGAGGAGAAGCUGCUCCGGUUCGAGAUAUACCGGAGCAACAUGGAGUUCAUCGCCGCGGCGAACCGGGACAGCCGGAUGAGGUACCGCCUCGGCGAGACCCCGUUCACCGACCUCACCCACGACGAGUUCAUGGCCAUGUACGGUGGCAACGGCGGCGACCCGUCGGAGAAGGAGGAGAUGAUGAUCACCACUCACGCUGGCCCCGUCCACGAGGGUGGCGUCCAUCGCAGUGACCUCCAGCUCGCCGCCGUUGAUGAAGAAGAGCCGCCGCGUCGUCCCAACCCGACAACGCUGCUGCCUCCGAGCGUUGAUUGGAGGGCCGAAGGCGUCGUCACGCCAGUCGGGUUCAAUGGAUGGUGCUGUAAGUAGGCCAUUUUAAUGAAACUAACAUCCAAAUCAAUGCAAGCUAAUUAAUUAAGUGUCCAUAUAUACCAUCAGCGUCUUGCUGGGCGUUCGUGGCGGCGGCGACGAUAGAGAGCGCGCAGGCGAUCAGCACCGGUGACCCGCCGCCGGUGCUGUCGGAGCAGCAGCUGGUGGACUGCGACACGCUCGACAAGGGCUGCGGCGGCGGAUGGAUGGACACGGCCUUCAAGUGGGUGAUCCAGAACGGCGGCAUCACGUCGGCGGCGGCGUACCCCUACACGGACAGGAACGGCACCUGCCAGGAGGGGAAGCCGGCGGAGGUGACGCUAAGCGGCUACAAGCGGCUGCCGCGCGGUGACGAGGCGGCGAUCAUGGAGGCGGUGGCGCGGCAGCCCGUGGCCGUGGCCUUCGACCACAACGACCCCUGCUUCCAGCACUACAUCGACGGCGUGUACGACGGCAAGUGCUUCGCGUCCGGCGUCUAUGUUGGCGGGGCAUGCGGGACGAACCAGACGCAUGGGCUCGCCCUCGUCGGGUACGGCACCAUGCCUGGCGGGACCAAGUACUGGAUCGGCAAGAACUCGUGGAGCGCCAGGUGGGGCGACAACGGCUUUGUCUACGUGCUCAGGGACUCGCCGCCCUUGGGCUUGUGCGGCCUCGCGGUGCGCCCCAGCUUCCCUAUCAUCUGAUCGAUCACCGGCCGGACCCCCGGCCGGUCGAUCGCCAUGCACCUCCGAGCCAUGCAUGAUCUGUGUGCCUCUCGAUCCAGAAUAAUGGUGUGU